rnacentral:lncRNA from 1 species
AGCAAAUUUGCUACAUCUGGAUCUGUAAGAAACCAACAUGUAUCCAUGUCUCCACUUUCUCUCUCUACUCUAUCUCCAGUUCUUCUUCCUGCGGUUUCUUUUUCUUCUCUGCAAUUUCAACACACGGAAAAAAUUGCUAUAAGAAUUCAUUCUUCUGCUUCUUUGGCUACGAGAUUGAAUCCCAAAGUUGUGGUCACGAGAGAACGUGAGAAAAACGCCAAACUCAUUAAUUCUCUAGUACAUUUUUAUAUUUGUUUUGUUUUUGUGAAUAUAUAUUCUCAACGCAUUCUUUUGAGUUUUAAAACUUGUAAUUUUAUUAUUGAAAUUAUAAGCUCUUGUGGCUGUUUUUGGUGUGGGAAUGUGUUUUUUUCCUCGUGGUUUUUUACAGGAAUCUUGUGGUAUGGGUUUUUGUCAGCGGUUUAUUUUUGUGUAAUGGAAGCAAUAAUUGUUUGAUCAAAUGUUGAAAUAAGUUUAACCUUUCCAUCUGGGGGGGAAAGAGAGAGAGAGAGAGAGUUGUUGGAAAUCUAUUUUGAAGGCUGUUGAGUGAUGAUAAAUAUGGAAAAAACUAUUAGCUCACUUAAGAUAAAGGAAUUGAAUAUAGUAAUUAAUAUAAAUUUAUACUCUUUGUUUAGAUGAUGGGUAUCAAAAUAUAGUACAUAUCAAAUUAUAUAUAUGAGGAAAUUUCUGGAAACAAACAAAUAUGUAGGAGAAUGAAAAAUUGCGCUGUUGAUUUUAAGGUAGAAAAUUUCCCUUUCCAACAAUUAAGUCUAUUGUUUGUCCUUACGUCAGCAGAUGCUAUUUCACAGGGCAGUAAAUUGAGCAGUGGCUUAUAACUCUGUAUAUGAGCAUUAUGUCACCCACCGUAAUAGAAGAGCAUCAGAAAAUAGUGGAGUUGUUUGCCUAAUUAUGCAGGUCAUGCAUUCAGGUAGAAGUUGAAAAAAUGGUUUCGUAGUAACAUUGAAUGCGUCCGAUACGUCGACACGUGAUUUUUCAAAAAUAUACUAAUACAAUACAUUAUCGACACAUUGAUUUGACUUUUUUAAAAUUCUUCAUUUAUAUAGAGUAAUUUUAUUUUGAUACUUGUUAUUAAUUUUUCUUAUUGAAAAUUUUUAAAUAUGAAUAUUUAUUUGUUAUUUAAUAAUAAAUUUGAAUUAAAAAUAUACGAUAUUUUUUGAUAAAGAAAGAAAAAUUACUACUAGUGUGUUUGAGAAGUAUCGGUAUUCGACAUGUAUCGGAUGUUACUCACAAUAUUGCUGAUGAUAUAGUUCAACUAUGGUCUACGAGAAUAAGAUAUCGUAUGGAACACGUAAUAUCAGCGAAUGAAAGAUAGAAUAAUAGUUGUUUCUAGUACGAUAUGGUAUGCUACAUGAAUAUAUUGUCAACUCUAAAUUUUAUGUUACCCACAAUGUUGUCAAUUAAAAUAAAUUUAUCGAUAACAGUAAGGGCGGAACAAAUAAUCUAAAAUUGCAGAAAAUAAUAAAAGACCGAAUGAACUUUCAGCUGAACCCUAUAUAAACGCAACUUCCUUAAAAUAGAUUCGCUCCUCACCCUACUUGCUUAAGGUUUAGUUUGAGCAUCUGUUUUCUUGGAUACAACGGAAAAUCAGUAGAGUUCGAGCACUGCAUAUACUACUUUGGCGAACUGACUUAGUAUCCAAACAAUAUCACCAAAACUGAAAAGAAAAAAAGUUUCCGACCAAACAAAGUUGUAAAACUAUGCAAUAUGUAGAUAAUGUAUUGGUUCUUGUGAGGAAUAUGGAAAACGAGUUUUCAUAUAGACUUAACUCCAUGAAUAGUGAGUUAAAUAUGUCUAUAAGUGUAUUAUAAUGACCAUAACUUUUGAAGUUUCAACAGUUUUAAAAGUUAAAAGGUCAGUUGAAGGAAAAAAUUGAUAAAACGUAGGCCUUCCUAAGGGGCUAAUUUUGGUCCUUUCGGCUCGACAUCCGUAUGCGUAGGUCGAGCUCGCACACAAGUUCAAGAUUCAAAACCUAUUUCGGUUCAUGAUUUGCACCUCCUUGCGCGCAUAUGUGGAGAGUGCCUUUAUGCUAUACAUGAUCACAUCCUUCCAAAGUACAAUCCUAUAUGAAGUGGUAUUUGCUUUCAUUAUUUUUCUAUGUGGGACAAACUUAAUUGGUUUUCUUUCAACACAUAAACUCGUUUCAAUUGACACACUUUGAGCUCCAAUUUUCAUCUACUUGAACCUUAUUUUUGGCAAGUAAAUAUAUGAUUUUAAUGUUCUCACGGAGGAGAACACAAAUUAUUCUUGAUGUUCCAAAAUAAGCAACCAGGUCCCACUCAAAAUUUAUGCCAAAUUCAGCCAUUUAACUCUUUUUUUUCCAAUGACGUGCUAUCCCAGAUGAAGUGUCCGUGCAACAGAGGUGUUGGGUCAUCGUAAAGUGUUCUAUGAUGGUCAUCCAUUUUUUUUGAUGACUCAAGUGUCCAACCUUCGUCCGACUAAUCUUGAGGAGUGGCGACCUUCAGCUCUGGUCAUCCAUUGUUUAUACCUAUAAAAAUGGUGCCAGUAGUAUAUUGGUUCUAAUAUCCACAUUGAGACAUGAAGUACAAUAUAAAGGGCACAUGAAUAACAUAUAUUUGUAUGUUCAUUUAUGGACAAUCGUACGAGGCCCGAGGCAUGGCAAUGAUUUCGGAGUGGAUUUAGAAGAUACUAUCUGUGGGUUGAAAAUUCUAGAUUGGUUUUAGUUAAUCGUCGAGUUGUCUAUGAGACCAAGAAUAAACUAGCGAAAGGAAGGAUACAUUGCAUAUGAAGUGAUUGGCUAAGGGUUUAUGAGUGGAGUUCUGCAUAUUAUGCGUAGCAUUUGAUUUUAGUUCAACAUUUAUUCAUUGGGCUAUUUGUGGCAUCAAGAGUAGUGGUGGUUAAAGAAAGGACAUUGCAUAUGAGGAGUGAUUGAAUCCGGGCUUAUGAGUGGAGUUCUGCAUAUUAUGCAUAGUAUUUGAUUUUAUUUUUGUAGAAGGAACUGAAUAAAUAUUGAAGUUAAUGGGCUUUGUGACAUGAAGUGCAAUAAAACCAAAUAGCAGAAUUAUAGAAGGGGGAGUGAAGACAAUAAGAGAAAGGAGAGGGCAAAAGUGAAGAAUGGGGGGGGGGGGGAUAGAAGGAGAGAGAUAGAAAAGUAACAAGAAUGAGACAGAUGGAAGCAGAAUUUAGGAGAGAGGAAGAAGAUGGGAGAAAAGGAAGAGGAAAACAAACAAGAAGAAUAUUAAGAAAGAAGGGAUUUCUAUCAUUUCUCCCUAACUGAGAGAACUCGACUUUAAUUCUUAGCAAAGAGGACUAUCUUUCUCUCUGACUAAAUAAUGACAUUGACUACAUGACGUCAAACCCUAAAUUAGCUGGCUGAUUUUAUUCUUUUGAGUUGUGGCUGGGGAGAUUUUUGGGUGGUUGAAGGUGGCUAAGGAUGUGUAUAUAAAUUUUGAAUUUCAACAUGAAAUUUGUGUACAAGGAAAAUGACUUGCUCUGAUACCAAAUUGAUGUAUACUACAAUAAAACCAAAUAGAAGGAUUAUAGAAGAAGGGAAAAGGGAAGAUAAUAAGAGAAAUGAGGGGGAAAAGAGAAGAGGGGGAAAGAGAAGGAGAUAUGUACAAAGUUAAGGAGAGUUAGACAUUAAAAGCAGAUUUAGGAGAGAUGAAAAAGAGGGAGAAAAGGGAAAAGGAAAACAAACAAGAAGAAUAUUGAGAAAGAAAGAAGAAAAGAGAGGAGAAAGAGAAGAAGAGGGAGAGAGAGAGAAUUUAGGGAGCGAAUAUCAAGUUUACUUUUUGUCAAAGUUGUAUCUAUUACAAUGCAUAAACCUCCUUCAUAUGGGGUUUCGAAAAACCUAUUCUAAAUCGGAAACAAUGAAUCAAAUACUAGAGAAUCUAGUAAAUAAAUAUAUAAUAAAAUCCUAGGAAAUAUAGUAAAUAAACCCUGAUAACUUUUCCCAAAAUAAGAAUCUAAAUAUGGAAAAUAAUCAUAAUAAUCUAAUAGGAUUUACAUCGUUUUGUUGUGGUCCCCUUGGAAUGUGAGACAGUAUCAUUUAAGAUGUAUGAGUUUUAACACGUCGUGACUCAUCAAAUUUUUCACCUGCAACCUAGAAAGAAAUCGAUUUUAAAAAGUAAUUUGCCCCUUUUUUUGUGUACAGAUCAUGUCUUGGGCUCUAGUAGUGGCUCCACAGGUCUUUUAAUUCUUUUUAUGAUGAUUCACAUUCUUUUCACUUGGUUAAUCCUUUGAUGAUGCUAUUAUAUUCCCAAGAUGCUAAUACAAAUGACUACUGAUUUGAUGUGUAUUACCUCCCUGUGUUUGCCUUCUUUGCAUUGUUUACUGUAACCUUGUGCUACAAUUUACUCUACUGUAAUACAGGUAAAGCAUGGAAUUGAGUGUCUUGAGCUUCCUCUCAUUCAGCACAAGAAGUUACCUGAUUCUGAUAGUUUUUCCUCUGUGUUGAGUGGUAAGUUUCUGACGCA